rnacentral:lncRNA from 1 species
AUUCAGGUGUGGUCCUAUCUCCAGCUAUUCCGAGGUAGCCACAUAACUCUUUAUGAUGUGGCCAAAAAUUCCUCCUGCCACCACAGCCCUAGAAAAAUGGGUCAAAGACAUCUUCUAUGGAACUCUCCAAGCGGGGGCUUAGUUCACACCAUCUACUCCUGUGUCAUCGACCUGCAAACACUGGCGCUGUUUUGACAACAAGGUCAUGUUCCCUGCAGUGAGCUCACCCUUGACUCGGAGUCAGUCAUCAGUCCUCUCCUGCUUGUUCCUCCUUGGGGGAAUGAUUAGCUAUGGAAGUCACAAAGGCUGUCUGGUAUUUGUCUCUGGAAAUGUGUCCAUAGUGUCUCUGAGGUCUGCAGGGGUAUCUAAUCCG